GACUUAACCCAGCCUGGCCAAGAUGCGUGUCCAGUACCACUUAUGUGUUUCAAAGGAGAGUAGAUUGUAAGAGAGGUUUCAGUAUUUUCUGAAAUUCUCACCCACGUGUCCACAGGUGUCAACAAAGCACUACACCAACUAAGUCAGUCCUUAAGGUGACUCUGCCAGCUUAUUGGUAUUAUCUAGCAUAUGCCAAAUGAGUGAGAUACUGGAACACACAAAUAAAAGAUACAAUUAUGUCUUCAAUAAACUCAUCAUAUUCUGAAUGGUGAACCAGAUACCUUGUGCUCGGGAAGACACUGUGAUGGAUCAUGGCCGCUAAUUAGACCUGGCCAAGGAGCUGGGCAGUGGUGGCAGUCACCUGGGAGACUGAUGUAGGCAGACCUCCAAGUGUGAGGCCAGUCUGGUCUUCAGAGUGAGUUUCAGGAUACCCAGGUCUACACACACACACACACACACACACACACACACACACACAUACCCCACAACCAAAACUCUGUCUCAAAACAAAACAAAACAAAACCAAAAAAACUAAAAAACAAAAACAAAAACAAAAACAAAAAAACAGACAAGCCUGACCAAGUAGAAAAAAAUUGGUAAAAGGAUUUGGAGACAUUAAACAUUGGGGUACUUUAGGGACCAUGUUUGGCACUUGUUCCCAGGGCCUUUGUGGGUAGAAUAGAUAACCAAGUAGAUUAAUAGGCAGGACAGAGUCCCUUUGGCAGAGAUGGGGUCUAACAGCAAGUAACCCCAUUCGAUAGGCUUUAGCCUAGAUGAGAUAUAUUCAUAACUUCUACUGUACUCUGAGAAUCACCAUCCAGAUAAACUGAGCUUAUAGAACUAGGUUCCUGUUUUUUUUCUCAUUCCAAUCUUAGCCAUCUUGCUCUGCCCUGGUCUUACCCCACUAUCAGAGACACCUUUCAAUAGCUGUAUUUGAUCUCAGUAUAUUUUUUUUUUCUCCAAAUACUUCAAAGGCUCCUGACUCACUCAAACUAAAAGUGAAAAAUCGUAGUCCACAAGGCACUGCAGAACCUGGCCAAUGGUUCUGACUUCCUCUUCGUUAGCCUCUUUCCUCUGACCAGGCAGUCUUUUUAGCCAUUUUUUCCUGCCUCUAACCUUUCCAGUACUGCUCUCCAUGACUAGAACACUCUUUCCUCCAGUGAUUUUGAGCUUGCUUAUCCUUCAGGCUUCUGAUUAUGUUAAGUAAUCAGAAAGACAUUUGUUGGUCAAAUAUCCCACAUAUACUCCAUAACUCUUUACUUCCUUUCAUUUAAAUUUUUUAAACUUAAUUAUAUAUAUAUGGAUGUUUUGGCCUGUGUGUUUGUCUGUGUACUACUUGCAUGCCUGGUGCCCAUGGAGGCCAGAAAAGGAAAGGAAAGAAGAGGGUACUGGAUAUGCUUUGACUGGAGGUACUAGAACUGCCAUGUGUGUCUAGGAAUUGAUUCUGGGUCCUCUGGAAGAGGAGCCAGGUUUCUCAAAGACUGAGCCAUCGUUCCAGCCCUACGUCUUGACAUCUUAUUGGCAAAUUUGCAUAUUGUCUCUUCCAGAAUCCAAACUCAACUAAAAGAUAAUAUUUGUGUCUGCUUACUAUUUGCCUGAUCUCUAUCCUAGAACUGUCACCUGGAAUAUACAUUACCAAUAAAUAUCACUAGGUAUAUAAAUAUGUUCAAAUUAAAGUUUAGUCUGAAAUAUAAAGAAGCAGCUUUGCUACAUGUGUUCAGUCAAUAAAACUGGAUGUCAGUUUUUAAUUUAUUGCAAUCUAAUUAAAGCUUAUUUGAAUUCGAAAAUAAUACUACUAUUAAUAAUUUUAAAAAUAUUAAAAUGUAUCAUUAGGACAUAACAUUAGAGAUUAUGAUUAUUACAAAUCUUGAGUCAGCUUCUAUAUCCAAGAAAUCAGUAAAUAAUUCCUUCAUUGAUACUCUGUUUUCAUGUAGUGACUUCUGAACUCAGUGGUUUAUUUUGCUCAUGGUAUCUGCUCUCCACAGGGACUCAAAAAAUGAAGUGUCCAUUAGAAUUCUCUUAUUGGACUCUGGUUUAUUGUGAGGUCAUGAACUCCAAAGGGCAAUGACAGUGUGGUAUGGCAUUUAGCUAUGCUCAGAAAUGGGAAGUGUGUAAUGAAGAGAGAUGGACAGAAAACUGAGUGUAAACAGUAAGACCUUUUGCAUGAACAUAAGUUUCCCAGGACAGUGUUAUUAAUAUACUCCCAUUAAACAUGGAGUAGAAGUAUCAAACACAGGCACAUAAUCAUCAUGAUCAUGAUCAUGAUCAUCAUCU
rnacentral:lncRNA from 1 species